UACGUAGGGAGCGAGCGUUGUCCGGAAUUACUGGGCGUAAAGGGUGCGUAGGUGGCCUCGCAAGUCAGAUGUGAAAUCCCCGGGCUUAACUCGGGGGGUGCAUUUGAAACUGCGUGGCUUGAGUGCAGGAGAGGAAAGCGGAAUUCCUAGUGUAGCGGUGAAAUGCGUAGAUGUUAGGAGGAACACCAGUGGCGAAGGCGGCUUUCUGGACUGUAACUGACACUGAGGCACGAAAGCGUGGGGAGCAAAC
rnacentral:rRNA from 1 species